UACGGAGGGUGCGAGCGUUGUUCGGAAUUAUUGGGCGUAAAGCGCGUGUAGGCGGCUCCUUAAGUCUGAUGUGAAAGCCCCGGGCUCAACCUGGGAAGUGCAUUGGAAACUGGGGAACUUGAAUACGGGAGAGGGUAGUGGAAUUCCUGGUGUAGGGGUGAAAUCCGUAGAUAUCAGGAGGAACACCGGUGGCGAAGGCGGCUACCUGGACCGAUAUUGACGCUGAGACGCGAAAGCGUGGGGAGCAAACAGG
rnacentral:rRNA from 1 species